rnacentral:lncRNA from 1 species
AGAACUGUCACCCCUGGGUCGCAUGGAGGCCUUGAGGGUUGGGAUUCAAUCCUCAUUCCUGAGAAGAGAUGGGGACUUGCUAUACUGCCCAGGCUGGAUAUGAACUCUUUGCCUCAAAGGAUCCUUCCAUCUCAGCCUCUCAAAAUACUGGGACUGCAGGUGUGAGCCACCAUGCCUGGCCUGUAUUUGGACAGUUGUUGCAGCACCAUGCUUAGCCUAUAUUUGGACAGUUUUUGCAGCAAAGAUGGAAUAAUCAUAUCUUCCCUACAGAGUUCCUGUGAGAAUUAUAAGUGAA